AUGAAACUGGAGAAUGGAAAAACUUUCUCUCUCUUCGUAUAUAUCAUACUCAGCCAACCCGCCAACUCGUUUAUUUGUGAGAUUUUAGAUUCAGUCGCCUAAUUUGACUCGGCUCUUCUCGUCAAGUUUUAAACGACUUAUGCGGGACAACCAGACCUGCUUUGCCAUCCCUAUUGACAACAUCAACAACAAAGAUUAACGACUCUUUCGAGUUGCGUGUCAAACAAAAAGAAUAACUAGGAUAUUGGAGCUCUGUGAAUUCGUCUCUAACUAAAAGACAUAUGAAAGUGGAGAAUGGAAAAACUUUCCCUCUCUUCGAAAAACUCAAUUCAAAGCAUAAGCUAAAUUUCUCCGAUAAAUCCCCAAACGUAACCUAUCCGAUUCCUAGGUCAGUAUUUAAUCCUGGUUCUACAUUUUCAACUUUCACUUUCUUUACAAUUGCAGAAUUUAGCUACUGCUAAUAUUGCACCCAAGGUGUUUGAAUAAAGUCCUGAAUGGCUUUCCAAUCACUUUUCUCUAAGCAUAAACUCCUGUCCUCUUACCUUUUCCCUCUUGUUCAACACAAAUUCAUUCAUUCUUUUCCAACCCAACAAAUUUCUGUGCCAUUAUUACCCGAACUUGUCAAUGAGAUAUCGCGUAUCGUAAGUGAUCACCGCCACCCUCGCCAUGACUUAGAACUCUCUCUAACUCCAUUUUCAACACAAAUAUCAACAGAUUUAGUUGAACAGGUUUUGAAAAGAUGCAAUCAUCUUGGAUUUUCAGCUCACAGAUUCUUUCUUUGGGCUAAAUCAAUUCCGGGUUUUCAGCAUAGUGUUCAAAGCUUCCACAUUUUGGUAGAAAUAUUAGGAAGGUCUAAACAAUUUGCCAUACUUUGGGAUUUUCUUAUAGAAACGAGGGAGUCUGACUCUAGUUGUAAAAUCACUAACGAAAUUUUCUGGAUCAUUUUCACUGCAUAUAGCCGAGCUGAUUUGCCAGACGGUGCAAUUCGAUCUUUUGUUAGAAUGGAUGAAUUUGGAAUCAAGCCGAGUAUUAUUGAUGUUGAUCUGCUUUUGUACACUUUGUGUAAAAAGAAACAUGUCAGGCAGGCUCAACAAUUUUUUGAUCAAGUGAAAAGCCAUUUCUUGUUAACCACAAAAACUUACAGCAUUCUGAUUAAUGGAUGGGGUAAGAUUGGUGAUUCGGGGAAGGCCCGUGAGCUGUUUGACGCAAUGCUUGAGCAAGGAUGUCAUGUGGAUUUACUUGCAUAUAAUAAUUUGUUAGAGGCUCUUUGCAAAGGAGGCCAUGUGGAUGAAGCUAUGGAUUUUCUUAAUGAUAUGUUGUCAAAGAAAGUUGAGCCGGAUGCUUUUACUUACUCAAUAUUCAUUCGUUCUUACUGUGAUGCAAAUAAUGUGCAUUCGGCUUUCGGGGUUCUUGACAAAAUGAGAAGAUGUAACCUUUUGCCAAAUGUGUUUACAUACAAUUGUAUUAUAAAGCGACUUUGUAAGAUUAAAAAGGUGGAAGAAGCAUAUCAAUUGUUGGAUGAAAUGAUUUCUAGUGGAUUAAAACCUGACACUUGGAGUUAUAAUGCAAUACAAGCUUACCAUUGUGAUCAUUGUGAGGUAAAUAGGGCUCUGAAGUUAAUAUCUAGAAUGGAAAAAGAUGUCUGUUUUCCCGAUCGCCAUACGUAUAACAUGGUGCUAAAAUUACUGAUUAGGAUAGGAAGGUUUGACAAGGCAACCGAAGUUUGGGAAUGCAUGGGGGAUAAGAAAUUUUAUCCUUCUGUCUCGACAUAUUCCGUCAUGAUUCAUGGUCUUUGCAAGAAGAAGGGGAAGCUAGAGGAGGCAUGUAAGUACUUUGCGAUGAUGAUUGAUGAAGGAAUACCACCUUAUGACACUACCAUCGAAAUGCUAAGGAAUCGGCUCUUGGGCUUAGGGCUUUUGGAUAACAUCGAAAUACUUGCUGCUAAGAUGAGGCAGAGUACAUCAUGUUCAAUCCAAGAAUUGGCAAAUAUUAUGAUUGGAGCUAGAUCUGCUCAAAAUACUUGGAGACGUGACGAGUCGGACAUAGAAAGUGAUUGAAUAAGUGGUUAUUUGUUUCUCAAUAGGUUGGAAGCAUUUUUUCUUUAUGAAAAUUGCUUCAUGUUAGUUUAUGUGGAGUUGCGUAUCUUACAUCAGAGUUUGCAAUGAAGAUUACCGUUCUUAGUGCAAUGAUUAACUGAUGUGAUUAAUGGUGCUGAACAAAUUAUCACAAACCUUACAUUGGUGCGUUCAUUGAGAGCUUCUCUCCCACGGCUUCUCCAAUUUGGGCUGAACUGUACCGAAUAAUCACAGAGGCACUUGCGAGAAUGAUCGACAUAUUGCCAGAUGAGACUGAUGCUUUAGAACAGAAUUGUCGGCUGUUGCUCUUCCGGCUCCGAAUGAUUUUCUUCCUUUCACGGAACAAAUAGAAUUGAUGUUCAUCAUUGAGAUGAAUUCAAUAGUCGAUGCGGAACAUAUUGACCUCUGCCAACUGAUACCGAUGCUACAGAGAAUCACCAAACCUUAGAAGUAUUGAAGCCGAUUAGUGAUUUCAACGGGGUUGCCUAAACAGCAAGACAAAGCUCUCGUCGUUCUUAAUACCUUACCAUCGCAAGAGGUACAGCUUGCAGACAGUGCUUUCACGAAGAAGGUGGGGCCUUCAAUUUAGAAUACAACCAGCCUGCUUUUUCACCAGGUUGUUGUGCUUCAAUGGACAGUGCCACCGAAUUGGUGGUCAAUUUCAGAUUGGCAGCAUACAACAUUCCCCACUGAUUGACUUGAGGUGAACGGGCUCGCAGAGCAGUCAGCUUUCUCAUGUUCAACGUAACAUCCCAACAAAGUCACCAUCACCGAAACCAACAGAUUGGAACCAUGACGAAGUAGCACUCCCUCCAACACCGCCAGAGCCACCCAAUAUGUGUUGUUGCAGAGUUUCCGCCAUGAGGUUUUAUCCCCCACCUGUUUAUAAUCCUUUGCAUAUUCAUAGUUGUGGGAACUCUAGAGCAAGUUCAUCGAUAUGAUUGUAAAACAAGAGUUUUCCAAUUUAAUUCAGCCUCGGAGACAUCGACAAUGAAACAAUAUGGCCCCUGCUGUCUUAAAUUUGCUUUUACUGUCACCGGGAUUGAUUAUAUACACACAACAUUACUGAGCAUAAUGUUGGAAAUGCUAGUAGUAGACUGGAUCCUUCUUCAGUCCUUGCUGUUUUCAAGGCUUUGUAUAAGGGAUUUAGAGGAUUUAUUGUUGUUGUAGUUAUUGGCCAAGUAGUUAAAAACAGGGUGAACAUAGCAUGCGUUUUAAUCACUCUUAAUACAUGUCCUUAUGGAAUUUGUUAGGCGAAAACUGGUGAACCUGAUCUUGGUACCUUGCACCAUGCAAUUCCCUUGGUCUCUGACUGUCGUUGCAGGCUAAUUAGUUCAUACAAUCCACCCUUUUUUUUUAACCUUGCCACACUAUCUUUGUAUGUGUCCUAUUAAUAUACCAGUAUUUCACCCCAAAAAAAUAUACCAGCACACACACCCUCUGUUU